CUCCUACGGGAGGCAGCAGUAGGGAAUCUUAGACAAGGGGGGCAACCCUGAUCUAGCCAUGCCGCGUGGGUGAUGAAGGCCCUAGGGUCGUAAACCACUUUCGCCCGAGAUGAUAAUGACCGUAUGUGGUAAAGAAACCCCGCAUAAUUCCGCCCAGCAG
rnacentral:rRNA from 1 species